rnacentral:rRNA from 1 species
GGACUACCGGGGUUUCUAAUCCUGUUUGCUCCCCACGCUUUCGUGCCUCAGCGUCAGUAUCGGACCAGUAGGCCGCCUUCGCCACUGGUGUUCUUGCGAAUAUCUACGAAUUUCACCUCUACACUCGCAGUUCCACCUACCUCUUCCGAACUCAAGAAUUCCAGUAUCAAAGGCAGUUCUGGAGUUGAGCUCCAGGCUUUCACCUCUGACUUAAAAUCCCGCCUACGCACCCUUUACGCCCAGUGAUUCCGAGCAACGCUAGCCCCCUUCGUAUUACCGCGGCUGCUGGCAC